rnacentral:rRNA from 1 species
UACAGGUGGGAUUGCGUUUUUUAAAUAUUGAAUAGGCAUUAAGUGUGAUUAGGUGGCUAAUGAUUUAUCUAUUUUUAAAAUAAAAUAUAGCUUGAGUUAUAAGAGGAGAGUUAGAGGAAUAACCAAAGGAAGGAUGAAAUCUAUAGAUAUUGGUUGGAACAUCAAAAGCGACAGCAUCACUCUAUUUUAUAACUGACACUGAAUCACUAAAGUGUGGGGAGCAAACCGG